AUUCACCCGUGUCUUUUGCGUACUUCUUGUUUCCUUGGUGGGUUCGCCCACCAUAGGACAAACCACAUAAACCUUUUGUAAUUGCAAUCAGCGUCAGUAACAAAUUAAUAAUUACAACUUUUAACAACGGAUCUCUUGGUUCUGGCAUCGAUGAAGAACGCAGCGAAAUGCGAUAAGUAGUGUGAAUUGCAGAAUUCAGUGAAUCAUCGAAUCUUUGAACGCACAUUGCGCCCUUUGGUAUUCCAAAGGGCAUGCCUGUUCGAGCGUCAUUUGUACCCUCAAGCUUUGCUUGGUGUUGGGCGUCUUGUCUCCAGUUCGCUGGAGACUCGCCUUAAAGUCAUUGGCAGCCGGCCUACUGGUUUCGGAGCGCAGCACAAGUCGCGCUCUCUUCCAGCCAAGGUCAGCAUCCACAAAGCCUUUUUUCAACUUUUGACCUCGGAUCAGGUAGGGAU
rnacentral:rRNA from 1 species